GUGAGGAAUAUUGCGCAAUGGAGGCAACUCUGACGCAGCCAUGCCGCGUGCAGGAAGAAGGCGCUACGCGUUGUAAACUGCUUUUAACCGGGAAGAAACCCCAGGACGUGUCCUGGGUUGACGGUACCGGAGGAAUAAGCACCGGCUAACUUCGUGCCAGCAGCCGCGGUAAUACGAAGGGUGCAAGCGUUAUCCGGAUUCAUUGGGUUUAAAGGGUGCGUAGGCGGAGCGUUAGGUCAGUGGUGAAAUCCUGCAGCUUAACUGUAGACUUGCCAUUGAUACUGUCGCUCUUGAGUGCGCUUGAAGUGGGCGGAAUGUGCCGUGUAGCGGUGAAAUGCUUAGAUAUGGCACAGAACACCAAUUGCGAAGGCAGCUCACUAAGGCGAUACUGACGCUGAGGCACGAAAGCGUGGGGAUCGAACAGGAUUAGAUACCCCUGUAGUCC
rnacentral:rRNA from 1 species